rnacentral:misc_RNA from 1 species
ACACCUCAACUCUCAUGGUUUACCAUGAUGAGCUUGGACUUUGGGGGUCUUGCUGGCCUGUGGUCUGCUCCUCUAAAAUGAAUCAGCUUGCCAGUGUCUGGCGGCACCAUGGGUGUGAUAACCAUCUACGCUUGUGGUUUGCCGCUGGGUAACCUUCAGUGAUGAGGGUUUGCUGGGGCUCACAAAUGUCUCUCCUCAGUGAGGACACCUUUUUGAAU